rnacentral:rRNA from 1 species
UACGGAGGGUGCAAGCGUUAUCCGGAUUCACUGGGUUUAAAGGGUGCGCAGGCGGGUUAGUAAGUCAGGGGUGAAAUCUCACGGCUCAACCGUGAAAUUGCCUUUGAUACUGCUAACCUUGAGUUCGGGAGAGGUCGAUGGAAUUCCAGGUGUAGCGGUGAAAUGCGUAGAUAUCUGGAAGAACACCAGUAGCGAAGGCGGUCGACUGGCCCGUAACUGACGCUCAGGCACGAAAGCGUGGGGAGCGAACAGG